rnacentral:tRNA from 1 species
GGGCCCGUAGCUCAGCCAGGUAGAGCGGCGGACCCCAGACCCGUAGGUCCCGGGUUCAAAUCCCGGCGGGCCCGCCA